rnacentral:rRNA from 1 species
GACGAACGCUGGCGGCGUGCCUAACACAUGCAAGUCGAGCGAGAAUUUUUCAACAGAUUCCUUCGGGAUGAAGUUGAAGAAGGAGAGCGGCGGACGGGUGAGUAACGCGUGAGUAACCUGCCCAUAAGAGGGGGAUAACACAUGGAAACGUGUGCUAAUACCGCAUAUGGAGCAUUUAUCGCAUGGUAGAAGCUUAAAAGAUUUAUCGCUUAUGGAUGGACUCGCGUAAGAUUAGCUAGUUGGUGAGGUAACGGCUCACCAAGGCGACGAUCUUUAGCCGAACUGAGAGGUUGAUCGGCCACAUUGGGACUGAGACACGGCCCAG